CCGCGCCUUCAUUUCUCAUGCUUCUAAUUUUCUCUGCAUCCCCAGUGAACCCUAGCUGUUUCCUCCCUGCGCUUCAUCUCUUUUCUCUGCAUCUAAUGUGAUCUUCCCCGCACCACAUUCUUCACACAAGGCCUCUUAUUGUUCCUAAGCUAUUCAGUUUUGCUUAGGAACGAAAAUCUGGUGCAUUUGUGGACUGAGCGAGGCUGACCGUCAAGAUAUUGUUCGUCGAACGUCCUGGUGCCUCCAAUGGAGGGGCUCUGGCGUGUGUUCGCUCCCGCACCGACUAAGCCGACCUUUAAUUACCGUGGUCUUGGACUAUACUGGCCUGGAAGCUGAAGCCUCUUACGGUUCUAUCCUCCAUAGAACUGCUUUUAUGACAGCAAAUGUGUUGGCAAGAGGUUGUUGUUGGCAAAUGUAGGAAAAAUGGUGAUGACGGCUCUCAAGUGCAUCUUCAUGGGACUUGGAUCCUCUCGGCACCGAGAUAGUAUUGGACAGAGAACAGGCCCAAGUUGACAAUAUCGUAAAGAAACUCGGAUAGGUUCCAGGAGUCAUAUAGUUAAUCAUCCACUAGCAUCUCAAAGUGCAAGUCCUCAAGUCCAAUCCUCUUUCUUUAUUUGUCUCUCAAAGAAGUAAUCCACCAGCACCUCAAAGUGUAGCUCCUCAAGUCCAAUCCUCUCCCCCUUUAUCUGUCCCUCAAUGAAGAACAUACAGACUAAAGCUACCUUCAACAAGCCAAAGCCCAUGCACUCCUGCAUCUAUUGAGUCCCCAAAUGCAUUUGUUUUUUAGUCAGCAUGCACUCAUGCACCUAUUUAGUCCCUAAAUAGAUUUUUUUUUUCAGUCAGCCGUUCAAGUUGAUUCCUUUGGUCAAUCCAUAUGAAGCUUUUAUUCAGUUUUCAGUUCAAGUUAAUGAAAGAGAGUGUGGCCACAAAGUUAGCAAAGGAGAAGUCUGGAUAGUUACCAUAAGAAGAGCAAUGGAGAUUUUGUCAGUGAUGAGGCAAGGGAAAUUAGUGAAAAAAAUUGAAGCAUAUGAAUCCACAACUCUCAAUCAAAAGAAAUAUUCAGUUCAAAUUCAUCAGCUCAUGCUUUAGGAAUCCAAGAGCAUUGUGGACGCGAUCGUUGUCUAGGUUUGGGUAUCUUCAUUGACAUCAUAAGUCAAUGAAAUGAAGGCAAUAAUUACACUUUUGUUGCAAAAUCAACAGGGUCCAUUGUCUUUACAGUUUGUCACGUUUUAGCCAUCACAGUCAAUUAUUGAAGGAAACAUAACACUGACAUUAACUUGAACUGAUGACGAAAUAAAAGCUUCAUAUGAGGGUUGACCAAAGGAAUCAAUUUGAACUGAUGAUUGAAAAAAAAAAUCCAUUUGGGGACUGAAUAGGUGCAUGAGUGCAUGCGACAAAAACAAAUGCAUUUGGGGACUGAAUAGGUGCAGGAGCGCAUGGACUUUGGCUUGUUGAAGGUAGCUUUAGUCUGUAUGUUCCUACAAAUAAAUGAAUGUAUAUUAUUAAUUAAUUAUUAUAUUAUACUUUAUGUAUUUGAUCAAACGAGUGUGCCAAACAAUGAUGAAUGUAACGAAGAAGAACAAAAUUUGACAUUGUUUCUUUUUUAGUAAUGUAAUGAACAUCUCAAUUAUAUUUUUAGUA